AGUGAACGCUGGCGGCAGGCCUAACACAUGCAAGUCGAGCGGCAGCACAGUAAGAGCUUGCUCUUACGGGGGGCGAGUGGCGGGCGGGUGGGGGAUACAUGCGAAUUUACUGUUGCGUGGGGGAGAAAGUAGAGGAAAUUACGCCAUUACCGCAUAGGGCCUAAGGGGGAAAGCAGAGGACCUUCGGACGUAGGGCGAGCGAAUGAGCCGAUGUCGGAUUAGCUAGUUGGCGGGGUAAAGGCCCACCAAGGCGACGAUCCGUAGCUGGUCUGAGAGGAUGAUCAGCCACACUGGGACUGAGACACGGUCCAGACUCCUACGGGAGGCAGCAGUGGGGAAUAUUGGACAAUGGGCGCAAGCCUGAUCCAGCCAUGCCGCGUGUGUGAAGAAGGCCUUCGGGUUGUAAAGCACUUUUGUCCGGAAAGAAAAGCAGCAGGCUAAUACCCUCGGGGGAUGACGGUACCGAAAGAAUAAGCACCGGCUAACUUCGUG
rnacentral:rRNA from 1 species